rnacentral:rRNA from 1 species
GACGGGGGGUGCGAGCGUUGUUCGGAAUCAUUGGGCGUAAAGCGCGUGCAGGUGGUUUUAUAAGUCAGAUGUGAAAGCCUAGGGCUUAACCCUAGAAGUGCAUUUGAAACUGUAAAACUUGAGUAUGGAAGAGGGUCGUGGAAUUCCUGGUGUAGUGGUGAAAUACGUAGAUAUCAGGAGGAACACCGGUGGCGAAGGCGGCGGCCUGGUCCAAUACUGACACUCAUACGCGAAAGCGUGGGGAUCAAACAGG